UCGGAUAUGGUGUAAUGGUUAACAUUGCCGCCUCUCAUGAAGCGGAAACAGUUAUAUGAACGCGGCAGCUCGGGGUUCGAUUCCCCGUAUCCGAA